rnacentral:rRNA from 1 species
GAGUUUGAUCCUGGCUCAGGACGAACGCUGGCGGCGUGCUUAACACAUGCAAGUCGAACGAGAAUCUACUGAAAGAGUUUUCGGACAAUGGAUGUAGAGGAAAGUGGCGGACGGGUGAGUAACGCGUGAGUAACCUGCCUUCAAGAGGGGGAUAACAUUCUGAAAAGAAUGCUAAUACCGCAUGACAUAUCGGAACCACAUGGUUUUGAUAUCAAAGAUUUUAUCGCUUGAAGAUGGACUCGCGUCCGAUUAGUUAGUUGGUGAGGUAACGGCUCACCAAGACCGCGAUCGGUAGCCGGACUGAGAGGUUGAACGGCCACAUUGGGACUGAGACACGGCCCAGACUCCUACGGGAGGCAGCAGUGGGGGAUAUUGCGCAAUGGGGGCAACCCUGACGCAGCAACGCCGCGUGAAGGAUGAAGGUUUUCGGAUUGUAAACUUCUUUUAUUAAGGACGAAACUUGACGGUACUUAAUGAAUAAGCUCCGGCUAACUACGUGCCAGCCGCCGCGGUAAUAC